GUAGAGUCCCGGAUUGUGAUUCCGGUUGUCGUGGGUUCGAGUCCCAUUAUCCACC
rfam:Chromobacterium aquaticum strain CC-SEYA-1 NODE_44_length_98965_cov_23.047340, whole genome shotgun sequence.